UUCUUGGUAGGCUUUGCAAGCACUCUCCUCUAUGGUCGACAUGGGAUCUGUGAUGUACUGGAAGGUGUCUAAGGGGAUCAAAAUGCUUGGCUAGGGAUUCCGAUUUGUGGAAUAGAGAUAUCUUGGGGGUUUAGGCUGAGAUUGAUGAAGCUUGCUUCUUUUAUCGUUUCCAUGAGAUUUGGAGUGGGUCACACACAGAUUUAAGGUGAGGGAUGGAAGGCUUGUGGAUGGAGUAGCUGAGGAGACAGGAUGGAUGCAUGAAAUUGUUCGGAUGUUUUAGCAGAUGUUGAGAGGGUUGUUUUAAAAAAAAAACUUGAGGGAAAAACUAGGGAUGCUGUAGUUGGUAUUAGCGCAGUUAUUCCUAAAGGACAAUGAGUGCAUGCAAUCCCAUCGAUGACUUAGAUACUUCCACCUUCAAGUCUGUAAGAUUUGUUUUAUAAUGUUAUAGUCAUGAAUUUAGCUAUGUUUAUGAAUAUAUGCGAGGUUGUAAUGUGAAUAUUUUGGAUAAAUAGUGUUAUGGCUGCUAGAAGAAACAAUGAUGAGGUUGGAGGACAGAAAAAUCAAUUCCUCGCUGAACUUACCAUGCUCUUGCAAGAACAGAGUCGAAUUCAUGGAGACCUUGACCAUGGACCGUCCGUACUUGGUUGGAUAACCUAGACUGUACAAUCGGAUAUAUGACCUACAUCGAUGAGGAAAGAAUGGUGUUUAAUGACCUUUGAUGUGUUGCAAUCAUAGAUAAUAGGUGCACUAGUGAAGUGUGCACUGAUGUUGCCUAAUUGUUGGUGCCAAUAGAUUAAUAACACUACUAGUAGAAUGGUGAUAUAGUUCUACAUCCUAAUAGUACCGAGUGAUAAGAGUUGACACUGGGACGUUAUAUUUGUGAGCCCAUGAUAGGUUUGUCUCACUAAAAAUAUAUGUUACGACAAACUUUCCCAUAAGAUAUAAUCUCUUUAGAUUUAUGGAGGAUAUCUUUGAAUUUGUUGGCAUUAUGUGUUGAAGGAUAGAUGACUUCCUUUUUCACUAUCAUUAUUUAUGGAGCUAUCAAGUUUAUUUGAUGUUGGGGAUGAAUUGGGGUUGAUAGAGUAGAAGUAAAAAAGGCAUGUAUGGGAGGUUACAUGGAAAGAUGAAGGUUUAUAAUGCAAGGCACGAAUAAGUAUUGUUUCAUGAGUUGUCUAUGGGAUGUAGCUAAUAUCAGUAGGAACCUUGAGAUAUGUUGCUGGGAAAAAAAAUAUGGGUAUUUGUGAAGAAUUUAUUAGUAGAGUUUAAGGGUGAGACAUGUUGGAGCAAGUAUUGUAAGUUGGUUUUAUAGAAUCGUAUGAGUAUAUGCUGUAGAGAAUUUUUGAAAACAGAAGUUGGAGAAUUUUGUCAGAACAUAUACUAUAGAGAAUUGUAUCAUAACUUUGCUGCUGGAUGGAGUAUCAGUAAUGCUUAAUACAAGGGUUGUUGAAAUAGUAUGUAUUAUGGUUUCAUGAUUUCAAAUUUACAACAGUCUAGUUCCAUGAUUUGUUUUAAAGUUGUUAGAUUUUUAUGGAAUUUGAGUGAGAUUUUGAAGGGAUUUUGUGAAUCUGAGUUGUAAAGAAAAUGACCCUUUGGUUCUUGAACUCUAAUCAGUUCUGAUACCUCGGCUAAAUCUACAGGCCUCUGAGUUAGUUAAACUAGUGAGAACCUCAUUUGAAUCUAAAUUGGAUUUCUGGGUUCUGAGACCUUUGGCAUUUACAAUUCCUUGAAUUCUUGCUGGACUCGAUUUCUAAAUCGUUGAAUAUAGGAAUUCUGUUUGUAGAAGACUAAAGCUGCUAUCUAUAAUUUCAUUGAAGCCGAACUCUGGGUAUGUUUAGUUGGAUCUGAUGCUUUAUUGUGCAUCUGUAUUGGUGAUAUUUAGUUGCUGAAACUAGGGGUACACAACAAGUAAAGGAGGCAUUGAAGUGAAGAUGUCAUGAUUGGAACUAAUAGGAAACCGAUAAUUUCGAGAACUUGAUGAGAUUGCAGAAAUUUUGGAAUGUUGAGGUAAGAAGAGAAUGAUGAUUCAAUCCGAGUUUCGUAGAUUAAUUUUUGAUGAGUUUACUAAGUAAGAUUCCAAUUAGAAGGGGCUCAACUUGGUUGGGUUGUUUACUGGAUAGUGGGAGACAAGGGUACAUGAGAAGGUAUUUAAUGAAGAAGAGAAUUGGAUCAGCUGCAUUUAAAGCAGAAGUUGAGCCAUGGUGGAGUUUGAAGUCUAACUAAGGUAUCUGAGGUUGUGGAAUAGCUUCAUCUUUAAUUAAAUCCAACCUGAUAUGUAUGUUAAGUAUAUAGGUCCAAGGUCUGCAGAAUAAUCUGUUCAGUGAACUGAACAUCCAGAUGUGUUGUGAUAUUUUCUCUUGCUGACCUUGGAUUCUGUUGGAUUUCACCACUACUAGCUUUGGUAAGCCUAGAUGAUCUCUAGUAUCCUCAACUUCUGAACCUUAAAUAGGUCUCUCCACUGGCUUACUGACAGAAUGAAUUUUGGCACACUGUUCUGUGCCAUAUCACUGGAUUUGUAGCAUGCCUUUUCAAUUGAGAUUUAUAGGAACUAAAUGUUGAUUCUGAAUCAUUUAAGUUUUAAAAGUCUGUGUACAUAUCUGAAUUUUGGAACCCUUAUAGAACAAAUGUUCUUCAAGAUAUAGGGUCCUAGUUCCCUUGUUGAAUUUAGUACUGUUAAUCAAUGUGAAGUUCUGAUUAUUGUAUGUCAGUGCUGAGCGAUAUUACCUUGCAUAGAGAUGAAGGGAGAGAUUAGAUCCAUGUCACUGAUCCUAAAAUGCUUGGAAUAGACACAACUUGAUGAUGAUCAUAAUAAUGAUUAAUUAGUUUUUGGAAGCCUUUGAUGCUUGAAUUUGACAAUUCUCUCUCAUACCUAUGUCAUCAUGACAUAAGGAAAACUAGAACUUAAUAGUUUGACAAACCAAACAUGUUAAUAAGCAAAGAAAGAAUCUGAGAAUUGGAGGGGAAGAAAUGAUGAAGUAGAAAAAGCGGAGGAGGAAGAAAAGAGGAACAAGUAAAUGAGAAGCCUUGCUAUUUACCUUUGUUGUUGAGACUUAUGAGUUACCUCUAUGGUAUCUCAGUGGAAGAAGGGAUAAGAGAAGUGGUGCACCUUGAUGUCGAUGCAUCAGAGUCAUGUAGGAGGAUUUAGAUGGUCAUCUGGACAGUUGUUCACAUUGGUUGGGAGGGCUAGAACAUUGCAGGAUGAAUUGGAUAGGGAGUUCAGAAUUAAACCCUCUUUUGGGUGAAGUAGAUGGACUAGUGAUAAAUUAUAAGAGUUUUGGGCCUUUAGCAUUGAAGAAUGUGUUUACCUGUGUCCUAAUUUUGACUCUUUUUAGCAAAACCUCUCCUCCAUUCUCACUUUGAGAAAAUCAAUUAUCCGAAAAUGGACAUGCUACAGGCUUGGGUGAUCGAUUUUUGGGAGAGUUUGGAGUCCAGAUUUCCCUAGUAGAGUUUACUUACGAUAAUAGCUAUCAAGCUACUAUGGAUUUGUAUGAAACAUUGUACGGGAGGAGGUACAAGAAUCCAUUACAUUGGGAUGAGGUAGAGAGAGAGCAGUUUUGGGUCUAGACAUUGUGACUCACACGGUGAAUCUAGGGGCUAAGAUUUGAGACAGAAUGCAGGCAGUGUAGAUUGACCAAAAGAGUUAUGCAGAUUAACGACAAAGAGAUUGGGAGUUUACAGUGGGGGCCAUGUAUUUUUUCAAGGUGUCACCAAUGGAGGAGGUGUUGAGGUUUGGAAAGAAGGGGAAAUUAGCUGAUGGAGGAAGCUUUCUGGAACACUGAACUGGAUAUACGCAACCGCUAUCCCGGAUUAUGUGGUGAGGGAGAAGUCUCCCAGGAUACGAUGGAAGGCUUGCGGAUGGAGUAGCCAAGGAGACAGGAUAGAUGCAUGACACUGUCUGGAUGUCUUAGCAGAUGUUGAGAGGGUUGUUUUAAAAAAAAACUUGAGGGAAAAGGUUUACAUUUUAAUUAAGCUAUAAGAUUGAGAAAGGUUUACAUUUGCAUUUUUUAGCAA